UCACACUGUGGAACUCAUUGCCAGGAGAAGUUGUGAAGGCCAAAAGUAUAUCUGGAGUCAAAAGAGAAUUAGGUAAGUUCAUAUAAAUCCAACAA